UCGUGGAGUGAUCUGUCUGCUUAAUUGCGUUUCAGAUAAACAGUGUCGAUAGCUAUGUGAGUUAUGAUGCUUACGGGCACAUAUCGCGCAAGCACGACACUAUGAAGGCAACGAACGUGACCGCAACCCUUUGUUGCAUCCGUAGAGUAUGUAUGAGAUGGUUUCCCUUUACGGGGGAGGCUUAAUUGUAUAUACUCGUUAAGGAUCUGCCAA
rnacentral:rRNA from 1 species